rnacentral:rRNA from 1 species
GACAGAGGUGCCAAGCGUUAGGCGGAAUCACUGGGCUUAAAGCGUGUGUAGGUGGAUUUGUAAGUACCUUGUGAAAUCCCAUGGCUCAACCAUGGAACUGCUCGGUAUACUGCGAAUCUUGAGCCACUUAGGGGCUACCGGAACAAAUGGUGGAGCGGUGAAAUGCGUAGAUAUCGUUUGGAACGCCAAUGGUGAAAACAGGUUGCUGGGGGUGUGCUGACGCUGAGACACGAAAGCCAGGGGAGCAAACGGG